rnacentral:rRNA from 1 species
GAUGAACGCUGGCGGCGUGCCUAAUACAUGCAAGUCGAACGCAUAGCGAAAGGUGCUUGCACCUUUCAAGUGAGUGGCGAACGGGUGAGUAACACGUGGACAACCUGCCUCAAGGCUGGGGAUAACAUUUGGAAACAGAUGCUAAUACCGAAUAAAACUUAGUGUCGCAUGACACAAAGUUAAAAGGCGCUUCGGCGUCACCUAGAGAUGGAUCCGCGGUGCAUUAGUUAGUUGGUGGGGUAAAGGCCUACCAAGACAAUGAUGCAUAGCCGAGUUGAGAGACUGAUCGGCCACAUUGGGACUGAGACACGGCCCAAACUCCUACGGGAGGCUGCAGUAGGGAAUCUUCCACAAUGGGCGAAAGCCUGAUGGAGCAACGCCGCGUGUGUGAUGAAGGCUUUCGGGUCGUAAAGCACUGUUGUAUAGGAAGAACAGCUAGAAUAGGAAAUGAUUUUAGUUUGACGGUACCAUACCAGAAAGGGACGGCUAAAUACGUG